GAGAUAGCGUUAUCCAUCCACCCUCUAGCUUUCUUUAGCCACCCUCGCUGCUGUAUUUCUCUCCGCGCCUCGUGUUGCCAUGUGACAUAUUGAUUUAUUUGCUCUUUCUACUUCUAUCUUGCCUGCAGUGUACAGUCACGAUGGCAGGGACACUCUCUCCUGUUUAUACUGUUUCUGUUACGCUGGCAAAUAAUAAGCACUCAGUGAGAGGGAGGGGUGAAAAAGAAGGGAGAGGAGGAGGAGGAGGAAGGGGGAAGGGAAAGGAAAGGGGGGAGGAUGGGAAGGAGAAAGAAAAGAAACAAGGGAAGGAAGUAGGGAGGGUGAGUGCUGACUCAGCCACCCACUUCCUGGUCACGUGACCAUAAGUCACUUUGCUCCUGGGUCAGUUUUUUCCUCCCUACACUGCAGAGUUUAGAUCCAUCAAUCACUCCCGGCACUCAUGGUCCAUCAUUCCGUGCAUCGUGAUUCUGUUUCUUUUGAUUGCAGGUACAAUAAGAAGAUAGUCUCCACGGGUCCAUGCUUGCCUGGCAAGCACAAGGUCCUGAGUUCAAUUCCCAGUACCAGAAAACACAAGAACAACAAACAGAUAGUGGCAGGAGGAAGAGCCUCUCACAUCAGUGGGCUUUGUACUUCAUUGUCACAACUACUAGUGAGCUGGGAACCACAAAUCUCACCCGCUAGUCAGGAGAAAGCCAGGCGGAUAUCACGCAGCACCUCAUGUCAAAAUCACCACAGCCCUUGCCAAGGAGAGAACCUACUUCCCUGUGCAGCAGAGAGGACCAUCGGGUGCUGGCUCUUAAUUCCUGGCUCAGCCAAGCAACUUAACAGUGAUGGUCAACGUUAUUUUGCAAAAGCCAGGAAAGCACUGAAAUCUAAGGCGCUGUCCAGUCAUUCAUCAAGACUCAGUGAAAACACUGCUUCUGUAUCUAAAAUGCAGACAUCUUCUGUAUAAACAAGGGAUUUUUUUUUCACUGUGUACAGAACUUUCACUUUAGUGAUUACAGCAUCUUCAAAACUGAAAGACUGCCAAGGAAAAGGGGUGG
rnacentral:lncRNA from 1 species